GGGAUUGUGGCCUAGUGGUUAAGAGCGUCGGACUUACGAUCUGAAGGUCGGAGGUUCGAUUCCCGAUCCCA
rfam:Macrostomum lignano unitig_24565, whole genome shotgun sequence.